rnacentral:lncRNA from 1 species
CCGGGACCCUGCUCCGUCAUAGCGGGAUAACGAAAUGAGGGAAGACUCCAGCAAUCUCCUCCUGAGUGAAUCCUCCUCUGAGCUUUCCUCAGGCAUUUCCUGGUUUAAGGCCUCCUGUGAUACAUUCCCAGGUCUGCUUGAAGCCGACUGGCUGUAAACUCUCUCCCAGUGCCCCGUCUCCUGGUUAAAGACCACUCCCACGGUCCUCUCCUCCUGCGGGGUGGAAGAGCUGCCCAGCUGCAGCCUGCUAGAGGCAGGAGCUCUGCCCUCGGUUCUCUCUGCAGG